rnacentral:rRNA from 1 species
GAUGAACGCUGGCGGCGUGCCUAAUACAUGCAAGUCGAGCGAACGGACGAGAAGCUUGCUUCUCUGAUGUUAGCGGCGGACGGGUGAGUAACACGUGGAUAACCUACCUAUAAGACUGGGAUAACUUCGGGAAACCGGAGCUAAUACCGGAUAAUAUUUUGAACCGCAUGGUUCAAAAGUGAAAGACGGUCUUGCUGUCACUUAUAGAUGGAUCCGCGCUGCAUUAGCUAGUUGGUAAGGUAACGGCUUACCAAGGCAACGAUGCAUAGCCGACCUGAGAGGGUGAUCGGCCACACUGGAACUGAGACACGGUCCAGACUCCUACGGGAGGCAGCAGUAGGGAAUCUUCCGCAAUGGGCGAAAGCCUGACGGAGCAACGCCGCGUGAGUGAUGAAGGUCUUCGGAUCGUAAAACUCUGUUAUUAGGGAAGAACAUAUGUGUAAGUAACUGUGCACAUCUUGACGGUACCUAAUCAGAAAGCCACGGCUAACUACGUGCCAGCAGCCGCGGUAAUACGUAGGUGGCAAGCGUUAUCCGGAAUUAUUGGGCGUAAAGCGCGCGUAGGCGGUUUUUUAAGUCUGAUGUGAAAGCCCACGGCUCAACCGUGGAGGGUCAUUGGAAACUGGAAAACUUGAGUGCAGAAGAGGAAAGUGGAAUUCCAUGUGUAGCGGUGAAAUGCGCAGAGAUAUGGAGGAACACUAGUGGCGAAGGCGACUUUCUGGUCUGUAACUGACGCUGAUGUGCGAAAGCGUGGGGAUCAAACAGGAUUAGAUACCCUGGUAGUCCACGCCGUAAACGAUGAGUGCUAAGUGUUAGGGGGUUUCCGCCCCUUAGUGCUGCAGCUAACGCAUUAAGCACUCCGCCUGGGGAGUACGACCGCAAGGUUGAAACUCAAAGGAAUUGACGGGGACCCGCACAAGCGGUGGAGCAUGUGGUUUAAUUCGAAGCAACGCGAAGAACCUUACCAAAUCUUGACAUCCUUUGACAACUCUAGAGAUAGAGCCUUCCCCUUCGGGGGACAAAGUGACAGGUGGUGCAUGGUUGUCGUCAGCUCGUGUCGUGAGAUGUUGGGUUAAGUCCCGCAACGAGCGCAACCCUUAAGCUUAGUUGCCAUCAUUAAGUUGGGCACUCUAAGUUGACUGCCGGUGACAAACCGGAGGAAGGUGGGGAUGACGUCAAAUCAUCAUGCCCCUUAUGAUUUGGGCUACACACGUGCUACAAUGGACAAUACAAAGGGCAGCGAAACCGCGAGGUCUAGCAAAUCCCAUAAAGUUGUUCUCAGUUCGGAUUGUAGUCUGCAACUCGACUACAUGAAGCUGGAAUCGCUAGUAAUCGUAGAUCAGCAUGCUACGGUGAAUACGUUCCCGGGUCU